CUGUCUUAAGGGGCCAUCCGGGAUUAGUCUUGCCUGUUACAUGCUUCAUUGGAAGUUCUUAAGGCUACAGUUGGGCUUGAAGAUUUGCAAGAAAGACUCACAGAACUCAAAAGAGCUGGCUUUAAGAUAUCUUGAAACCAGGAAGAGCUUGCUGAAGGGCGGACAUGACUAUGUCUGUCAUUGUAAAAGAACGGCCCUGAUGAUAAAUUGAUAAUUUGGAUCACCUUUGAAGUAAACCAUCUUUACCCAAGUUCUCAGGAGAACCCAAAACAAGG